rnacentral:rRNA from 1 species
UACGUAGGGUGCAAGCGUUGUCCGGAAUUAUUGGGCGUAAAGAGCGUGUAGGCGGUUCGGUAAGUCUGCCGUGAAAUCCUGGGGCUCAACCCCGGGCGUGCGGUGGAUACUGCCGGGCUAGAGGGUGGUAGAGGCGAGUGGAAUUCCCGGUGUAGCGGUGAAAUGCGCAGAUAUCGGGAGGAACACCGAUGGCGAAGGCAGCCCCCUGGGCUAACACUGACGCUCAUGCACGAAAGCGUGGGGAGCAAACAGG